rnacentral:rRNA from 1 species
AUUGAACGCUGGCGGCAGGCCUAACACAUGCAAGUCGAGCGGAUGAAGGGAGCUUGCUCCUGGAUUCAGCGGCGGACGGGUGAGUAAUGCCUAGGAAUCUGCCUGGUGGUGGGGGAUAACGUCCGGAAACGGGCGCUAAUACCGCAUACGUCCUGAGGGAGAAAGUGGGGGAUCUUCGGACCUCACGCUAUCAGAUGAGCCUAGGUCGGAUUAGCUAGUUGGUGGGGUAAAGGCCUACCAAGGCGACGAUCCGUAACUGGUCUGAGGGGAUGAUCAGUCACACUGGAACUGAGACACGGUCCAGACUCCUACGGGAGGCAGCAGUGGGGAAUAUUGGACAAUGGGCGAAAGCCUGAUCCAGCCAUGCCGCGUGUGUGAAGAAGGUCUUCGGAUUGUAAAGCACUUUAAGUUGGGAGGAAGGGCAGUAAGUUAAUACCUUGCUGUUUUGACGUUACCAACAGAAUAAGCACCGGCUAACUUCGUG